rnacentral:misc_RNA from 1 species
UUUCCGUAGGUGAACCUGCGGAAGGAUCAUUAGUAUAUGACCAACGUCAGUUGGCAACCCUUUUUUUUUAAACUCCUGUUUUCUCUGAAAUCAGUCUGAACAUGUUUAUUAUUAAACGUUAAAACUUUCAACAACGGAUCUCUUGGUUCUC